UGUUAUCUUAGUGAGCUGUAU
ensembl:piRNA 21ur-10084 ncRNA